rnacentral:tRNA from 1 species
UGUAGCUCAGUGGUAGAGUACUUGCCUAGCAUGUGCAAGGCCCCGGGUUCAAACCCCGGCA